UCCUACGGGAGGCAGCAGUGGGGAAUAUUGCACAAUGGGCGCAAGCCUGAUGCAGCAACGCCGCGUGAGGGACGAAGGCCUUCGGGUUGUAAACCUCUUUUAGUAGGGAAGAAGCGACUGGGUUUUCCUGGGAGUGACGGUACCUGCAGAAAAAGCACCGGCUAACUACGUGCCAGCAGCCGCGGUAAUACGUAGGGUGCAAGCGUUGUCCGGAAUUAUUGGGCGUAAAGAGCUCGUAGGCGGUUUGUCGCGUCUGGUGGAAAAAACCCGAGGCUCAACCUCGGGCCUGCAGUGGGUACGGGCAGACUAGAGUGCGGUAGGGGAGAUUGGAAUUCCUGGUGUAGCGGUGGAAUGCGCAGAUGUCAGGAGGAACACCAAUGGCGAAGGCAGAUCUCUGGGCCGUAACUGACGCUGAGGAGCGAAAGCAUGGGGAGCGAACAGGAUUAGAUACCCUGGUAGUCCAUGCCGUAAACGUUGGGAACUAGAUGUGGGGGACCAUUCCACGGUCUCCGUGUCGCAGCUAACGCAUUAAGUUCCCCCGCCUGGGGAGUACGGCCGCAAGGCUAAAACUCAAAGGGAAUUGAAGGGGGCCCGCACAAGCGGCGGAGCAUGCGGAUUAAUUCGAUGCAACGCGAAGAACCUUACCAAGGCUUGACAUAUACCGGAAACGGCUGGAAACAGUCGCCCCGCAAGGUCGGUAUACAGGUGGUGCAUGGUUGUCGUCAGCUCGUGUCGUGAGAUGUUGGGUUAAGUCCUGCAACGAGCGCAACCCUCGUCCUAUGUUGCCAGCAAGUAAUGGUGGGAACUCAUGGGAUACAGCCGGGGUCAACUCGGAGGAAGGUGGGGAUGACGUCAAAUCAUCAUGCCCCUUAUGUCUUGGGCUUCACGCAUGCUACAAUGGCCGGUACAAAGGGCUGCGAUACCGCAAGGUGGAGCGAAUCCCAAAAAGCCGGUCUCAGCUCGGAUUGAGGUCUGCAACUCGACCUCACGAAGUCGGAGUCGCUAGUAAUCGCAGAUCAGCAACGCUGCGGUGAAUACGUUCCCGGGCCUUGUACACACCGC
rnacentral:rRNA from 1 species